rnacentral:rRNA from 1 species
UACGGAGGGAGCUAGCGUUUGUUCGGAAUUACUGGGCGUAAAAGCGCACGUAGGCGGCUUUGUAAGUUAGAGGUGAAAGCCCGGGGCUCAACCCCCGGAAUUGCCUUUUAAGACUGCAUCGCUUUGAAUCCGGGAGAGGUGAGUGGAAUUCCGAGUGUAGAGGUGAAAUUCGUAGAUAUUCGGAAGAACACCAGUGGCGAAGGCGGCUCACUGGACUGGUAUUGACGCUGAGGUGCGAAAGCGUGGGGAGCAAACAGG